GUAGUCCACGCCCUAAACGAUGUCGACUGGAUGUUGGGCACACUUUGGUGCUCAGUAUCGAAGCUAACGCGUUAAGUCGACCGCCUGGGGAGUAUGCGCGCAAGCGUGAAACUCAAAGGAAUUGACGGGGGCCCGCACAAGCGGUGGAGUAUGUGGUUUAAUUCGAUGCAACGCGAAGAACCUUACCUGGCCUUGACAUGUCUGGAAUCCUGCAGAGAUGCGGGAGUGCCUUCGGGAAUCAGAACACAGGUGCUGCAUGGCUGUCGUCAGCUCGUGUCGUGAGAUGUUGGGUUAAGUCCCGCAACGAGCGCAACCCUUGUCCUUAGUUGCCAGCGCGUAAUGGCGGGAACUCUAAGGAGACUGCCGGUGACAAACCGGA
rnacentral:rRNA from 1 species